UACGUAGGGUGCGAGCGUUGCCCGGAUUUAUUGGGCGUAAAGGGUGCGUAGGCGGCUUCUUAAGUCUGGUGUGAAAUCUCCCGGCUCAACUGGGAGGGUGCGCCGGAUACUGAGGGGCUAGAGUGUGGGAGAGGAAAGUGGAAUUCCUGGUGUAGCGGUGAAAUGCGUAGAUAUCAGGAGGAACACCGGUGGUGUAAACGGCUUUCUGGACCAUAACUGACGCUGAGGCACGAAAGCGUGGGUAGCAAACAGG
rnacentral:rRNA from 1 species